UAUAGAAGAUCUAUGGAUGGAUAUGUAUAUAUAUUCAUAUGGAUAUGAACGGAUACGAAUAUAUAUAUAUAUAUAUAUAUAUAUAUGCCAUAUAGACUACAGGGAUGUACCCAGAAUUAGAAAUAUACCCAAAUGACCUGGAUUAAAAAAAUAUCUAUUCUACACACACUGCUUAUCGGACACUUUUUGCUUCUUAUAUUAAAGCGCACUUGUAAACAAACAGAGAACUGAAUUUCAGCAUCAAGGCACAAAGAAAUAUCAGUCAAGAGCGGAGGCGUCCAUGUGUGAGGUUUCAUUUGCGAGGGGGAGGAGGUGGCGGUCAGCGCCGGGCCCAUGGCUCCUCCGGCAUUUAAUUAAAAGCAAACAUGGAGGAAUGUGGACGUGAACAGUCCUCCCCCCCUUACACACACACACACACAUACAGAGCAAUCACCCAGGAAGGAAAAACAAAGGACCCUCGCUGGAAGUAGCACGCCACCCCCGGCCCGAAUGAAUGGAAGGCUGCUACAAUAACUCUUUUUUUGCACACUCAUCACUCCUCAAUCAGCCUCCCGGCAGAGGAGGAGGAGCUUACCGGUAAAUUGCAGGAGUUCUUCGUCCUCUGCCCGACAGCAGGGGUUUCCAAUCAAACCCGUCGCCUGCUUCAGGAAGGCAUCUGAUUGGAAGAGGCCUGACUCAGCAUUGUUAUCGCUGUCUGGGGUUUGUUUUGGGGGUUUUUUUUUCUUCCCCGUUUUAUACCAGGUUCCCAAACAAAAACUUUCUUCACACGACCUGAAAUGCAAAACGAACCUUAAGAGCUUCCCAAGCUUCCUUCAUGAGACAAAACCACAAAAACGCUGCGUAAUUCCGAAUGGCAGAAAUGAGAACAGCGUUCACUUCAGAAGCGUUUCAGAUUGCAUCCAAAGUUAAAGAUUUUCUUGAAGUUAGUACACCAGAUGUCUGCGUGUCCCAGACAUCUGUCUGUGAGCUCCCUGGUUGCCAAUUUAACGACCCUCAUUUGCCGCACCACCAGCAGAGACCAAUGAGGCGUACAGACACAAAAGAGUGCAACUCGCUGCCAGGCUCGCAGUCCUUCUCUUUGGGGCCUCUGUGCUUGAAUACAGGCCUCGUUUGCCAGCUCCCAUCAUGCAGCAGAGGGCAAAAUGUCCCCAGACAGACUCAAUGGGCAUACUGUGCUCUAGAUGAAACGGCCAUGAAGCCACGAUAAGGCCCCCGACUCCAAGUUUACUCCAUUUUCUCCCGCUGUUGCGAAAUCCAGUUUGAAAACAUUCGUUCAUCUUCAGGCUGGUUCUGGGAUCCGAAGACUAUCCCGGGAACGCUGCGCUCGAGGUAGCGAUACACUCCGUCCAGCAUGCACAGAAGCCUAGGAGCCAGCUGUCUUAGCCAAUCCAGGACAGAGGAAGCUGGAGAAAAGUUGCGCAGACUGACGUUAACCCGAGCUCGCUGUCGAACCACGGACCCUGGAGCUACAACUAGGAAACUGCUAACGCUAACCUAUAAUAAAAAUAAAUGGCUCCAUCCUGGACACAAUAGGUGUUAAAGCUGUCAAAUCCCCAUUAAGAAUACAGUGCGUGAGGCAGAGCUAUACGACGGAUCCGAAUCGACGAUAUCCCGUGCCCGGGAACGACAUUAAACAUCUUGCAGUGCCAGCUCGGAAUAGGAGCACCAUUUAUUAUAUAAGCUCAUUACAGAGAGGCCAUCAGAUGGAUAGGAAAAGGAGAUCAAAUGAGAUCUCGGCCGUCUGUACGAUCACAUGCAGAGCACGGAUGGUUCAGGCCUGCCGCUUUGCUCUCCCAAGAAUUAAUCAGCGAGACAGUCUGUGUUCCCAGCAGCGUAAUAUGUUAAGCUGUAUAAAAUCCGCUUCCUCUUCUUCCUCUCUUCAGACGAAAGUAGAAAGGGCUUUGACGCUGGAAAGAAACUCGGGAAACACAGGAGCUAGAGACCGACAGCUGAGAUUCGCGCUAUACACCUAGACCCUAAAAAGUGGUGAUUCAAUCGGACGCACAUAUGAUACGCGCAUAAUAUAAUAUACCCGGACUUCCUGUUCACGUCUAUCGCGCCACGAGGCACAGUUCCCUCCGAAACUACUGGAACGGCAGGGCCGGUUCAUUUAUUUAUUUCUGUAGACUGAAGACGUUGGGGUUUGAGAUCGUCACCCCGUCGUUUAUUUGCUGAUAUUUAUAUGCGGACGUGAGAAAAUGAGAAAAACGCGAGCCAUUUUGAAGCUGGGAAAAGAGGGGAAAUCUAAAAGAGGCAUUAAGCGUAGCCGAUACAACGAUUUGGGACGUCCUGAAAAAGAAAGAAACCACUGGUGUACUGAGCGACGGACACAAAAUGGGUCACAACAGAAACGUUGUGAGAAAACCCCCAAAAACAACAGUCAGUGACAUCACCAGCAACCUCCACAGGGCAGGGGUGAAGGUACAGGACCACAAUCCACUGUUUGAAGAAGACUUCGAGAGCAGAAUUAUAGAGGACGCACAAGAUGCAGUCCACUCAUCAGCAGGAAGAGUCAGAAAGCCAGAUUGGAAUUCCCAAAGAAAUACAGAGAGAAAGUUCUGGAACCGAGAUGAACCUCUAGCAAAGAGAUGGAAAGGACAAAGUGUGGAGAAAGAAAGGAUCUGCUCAUGAUCCGAAACGUACAAGCUCAUCUGUGAAACAUGGUGGAGGUAGCGUCAUGGCUUGGGAUCGCGCGUCUGCUUCUGGAACAUUCUCACUCAUCUUUAUUGACGAUGUAACUCAUGAGGGUAGCAGCAGAAUAAAUUCAGAAGUCCACAGAAACAAGCUGUCUUCCAAUUAUUCCAAGUAUUACUGCAUGAACUUCAUCAUGCAGCAAGACAAUGAUCUAAACCUCACUGACGACUCAACAAAGGACUUUAAAAAAGCCUGGAAAGGCAUAAUGAAAGAAAAACCCAACAGUUUGGUGAUGUCAAUGAGCCGCGCUUGAUGCAGUUAUUGCACGCGAGGGAAAUUCAACCAAAUAUUAAAUGUCAUUUACUUUAAUGUACUUCAAGACUGGUCUGUUCCUAUACUUUUGCACACCUACAAAUUGGAUGGACGGAUACGAACCGUUCUACGUUUUACGUUGUUUAACACGUCUAGAUGUAAACACCAGGAAAUAAAAGCUGGAAUCUCGUCUCGUGCCCAUCGUUUGAUCUCGAACCCGAACGUCUUUGGUAUGGAAGUAUUUUCUAAACUGAUUGCGAAUGGUAUUGUGUCGUACGCAGACCCGGCCAAAAUACAAACGGAGCUGCAACUCCCUUUGCAUUUGCAUUUGCGAUGCCUUGCACAGAAACCUGUCAGUGUUGAGGCUGGGGGUUUAGUAAUGGGGUGUGUUGGUAUUUGGAAGUGAUGCGAGUCACCGUCGACGCCCGAGAAGGAGAACGUGCUGAUUGAAGGCAGAGUGUAGAAUUUGUGAGGUAAAGAUGUCACAUCGAGCAGGGUCUGUUAACGACCUUCACAGGCAUACUGGAAUUAUCCAUCUAGAUUUGCACAUCGUAAUGUGUGUUGUUUUUUUUAUUUGUUAUAUGGCACGCCGUGGUCCGUUUCUGAAUGGAAUUUGUUUGGAAUGGUUUGUGUUUUGGACGGUUCGAUAUAAAUAAAGUGUUCAAUACACGUGUAAUAGUGUUUGACGUUUUUUUACGUUAUUUAAGGUUUUUAUACCAUCCAUAAUGUAAAACUGUGGUAUUUGAGAAACUGUAAGGCUCCGUAUAAUUACGCUCAGCAAUCCAAGUGAUAUACGUGCACACAUACCAAUCAUAGGUCGAAACAUUUGCUACGUUUGGCUGAAUUAUAAAAGCAAGAAGUGGUACUAAAUGAUGAGCUGUUUGGGAGCCGAAAGAGCUGGGCUGAGCUGGGCCAAAUGAUCUGGCUCAAUGAAAACUUCUUGGCCGUUGUCCGCAAGGCGCUCUGAAAUGCGGUCGACUGUGAGUUUGGACGUUACGUCGAAAUACAAACACGUCCUCCCACAUAUACUCCCACCGCCAACACUGAUUCGGUUUCUGUGCGAGGCAUUGGAAAUGCACAUGCGAAAGGGAGUUGCGAUUCCAUUAGAAUUUUGGCAGGCUGCAUACGUCACGCCGAGGACGUGAAAUCGCAAACGGGGUAAUUGCUAUUGCUAUUUCGAUAUGACAGGCUCAUAACUCGUAAGACAUGGGAAAAAUGGACUUUGCUUUUCCGUUUGAAACUUGGCAGACAUUGUACGUCCGUGUAAAUGAAAAUGCAACGGGUAAUGCGCGAUUUGAAUUUAGGAAACGCGACCGCAGGUACAAUUCGCAAUUAGUUUUGAAAAUAGUCCGUAAAACACUUCCAUACUUUGGGCUACAACACAAGCACAUGGAUUGGCCUUUCCAUUCCAAUAGUUUCGGAGGGGACUAUAUAAGAGUUCACAUUUGAAACAUUAAACAAUUCAUACUAGCAAGUACCGAAUUUACAGUAUGACAUAAUAAAGAAUUGACAUUACGAAGUAAUAAAGAAUUGACACUGAGUUAAUCAAGAAUUUACACUAUACGGUAAUACAAAUUAAUACUAUGAGAUAUUAAAGAAUUUAAACUAUGAGGUAAUAAAGAAUUGGCACUAUGAGAUAAUACACAGUUUACGGUAUGAGGUAAUAAGCAACCUACACUAUGAGAUAAAGAAUUUACUCUAUGAGAUAAUAAAGAAUUGGCACUGUGAGGUAAUAAACAAACUACACUAUGAGAUAUUAAACAAUUGACACUAUGAGUUAAUGAACAAUUGACACUAUGAGUUUAUUAAAAAGUUGCACUUAGAGGUAAUAAAGAGCUGACACUAUGAGAUAUUAAAUAAUUUAAACUAUGAGGUAAUAAAGAAUUUACACUAUAAGGUAUUGAAAAUGUACACUAUGAGGUAAUAGAACGCAUCUAUGAGGUAGUGAACACUAUGAGGUAAUAGAACGCAUCUAUGAGGUAGUGAACACUAUGAGGUAAUAGAACGCAUCUAUGAGGUAGUGAACACUAUGAGGUAAUAGAACGUAUCUGAGGUAGUGAACACUAUGAGGUAAUAAAACGCAUCUAUGAGGUAGUGAACACUAUGAGGUAAUAGAACGUAUCUAUGAGGUAGUGAACACUAUGAGGUAAUAGAACGCAUCUAUGAGGUAGUGAACACUAUGAGGUAAUAGAACGCAUCUAUGAGGUAGUGAACACUGAGGUAAUAGAACGCAUCUAUGAGGUAGUGAACACUAUGAGGUAAUAGAACGCAUCUAUGAGGUAGUGAACACUGAGGUAAUAAAACGCAUCUAUGAGGUAGUGAACACUAUGAGGUAAUAGAACGUAUCUAUGAGGUAGUGAACACUGAGGUAAUAGAACGCAUCUAUGAGGUAGUGAACACUAUGAGGUAAUAGAACGCAUCUAUGAGGUAGUGAACACUAUGAGGUAAUAGAACGCAUCUAUGAGGUAGUGAACACUAUGAGGUAAUAGAACGCAUCUAUGAGGUAGUGAACACUAUGAGGUAAUAGAACGCAUCUAUGAGGUAGUGAACACUGAGGUAAUAAAACGCAUCUAUGAGGUAGUGAACACUAUGAGGUAAUAGAACGCAUCUAUGAGGUAGUGAACACUAUGAGGUAAUAGAACGCAUCUAUGAGGUAGUGAACACUAUGAGGUAGUACAGAUCUAUAAUAGCUAUACUACAGAAGAUCUAUAACAGAUGAGCAUGAUGAUGUCAUAACUGUGUAAUUACACUGCUGUAGUCACUAGUGUCAAUGCUAAAAUAUCAAAUAAAUACCUGAACGUACCAUAUGGAGAAUUAAAAUGGACACUGAACAUCACAAAGGUUCAAUGUUAACUUCUUCUCCAACCUUUUCUCUUCAAAAAAAAAAAUCAACCUAAUUUCUUCUGUCCCCGACAUAGAUAUUUUUUGUAUUUUCACGACUAUUUUAGGCUAAACACAAGCUAGUGUCUGUAGUUAAGGUAACCCUUUAAACGAGCCCACAUUAUCGCGAUGUACUUUCGCCUCGCUGAAAGAGGUUUCAUAACAAAACACUGGCUUUCUGUUAGCGCCUUUUUUUCCUCUGCCGAGACAUCUGAGAUGACACUUGAGCGCCAGUUUUCUAACAGAAUAUAAAUCAACCUACAGAAACGUUCCCGAUCGGGCAUGAGGUCUGCGGCUCGCCUCGCCGUAUCCUCCCGUUCCUCUGUCAUUUCGCUUCAUGUCUCGCUCUGCAGCUGACUGACGACAAAUAACACCAUUUGUUUAUUUUUACUGCAUGCGCAACUGGAUUGGACCCUUUUUUUUUUGUUGUUGCAUUGCCAGAGGUUAAACAUUCAAGUGGAGUGAAUAGGCAUUAAUGACACUGUUCAGUUCAACAGAUCGGACCACCUGAAAAAAACUGAUCACCAACUUGUCCCUAUGUGGUGUGUUACCUGCCCUGGGCAUUCAGCCGAUCGUUACUCUCGAACCCUGACCAUUCCCAUUAUUAUCGAGAUGAUAUUCAGGAUCAUACAAUAAACCCAUCACUGCAAUACUGUUCUGUGACAUCCAUACCAGGUUUAAAAUAUAAUCGAAAAAUCUCUGAAACACCCCUGCCCUACUUCCAGGGUGAAAUAAACCCAGUGACAUGGCGACCGUAAAAAAGCACCAUUUUGGCUGUCAGACCGUUCCCGAAUAAUUUAACCACCAUCACUUUAUUUCCAGUCCAAUUAGGCUCACCGAUGGCGUAUGCGAUGCGAUAUAAACGCACGGUCUCGACAUACAGAUGGCCUGAAUACAGAGUUCAUACUGCAGAGCACAACCGGGUUAAAUACGCCUGCGCGUCAACAACGACCGAUCGAUUUCUUUUAUUAUGCAGCACGGAUCAAUCAACCCACAAGCAGCCUCGGUAUAAAAGAGACGUCCGGUGUGCGAAUCGAGUGUCCGCGGCGUAUCGGAACAAGCCAAGGAUCUACGUGAUAGAUUACUAGUAAGAUAGCUGAUUGUUAUCAAAACUGUUAAUGAGUUAUAGCGGUGCGUUGAGUUGAAGUUCUGCUAACAGCAGUGGUGCUGUUGUGGUCUGUGGGGUUGAGGAAUUGAUCGAUCGGCCCUGAAUCAGCCCGAGGUGGUCCGAAUAAGACAAAAUGACCGGCGUGUAGGUGAACAUCUGUGAACGGUGGAGCGACGCGCCAGUUAAACGUGUUCGUUUAUUACCACUCAGUUGCUGCAUGAGGAAAAACAUUAAGUACGAAAAAAAGAUUCUUCCCUAUUCUGUGACGACGGAGACUCGCACACGUACGUACACCGGCCGACCGACGGAUCGAUCCGAAGCCCCGAGGAAACAUGUUAGCGUUACUGAUGCUGAUGUAUCACAAAAUGGACAACUUUUUUUUUUUCCCUUCUUUCAGCUGGCUCGCGAAAGGGAAGGUCUAGUGUUUUAUCUGGGAGCACGCUAAUUAGAUAAGUGAAAGUGCAGCAUCAAUAAAGCUAAAAUACAGAAUGAGAUUACCAUAACCCACAUCUGUCCACUGCUCUACACGCUCUACGCGUUAUCGGACACGGGAUCUAGAGGUCCCGAUUGAAGGUUUCUACCGAUCGCAGACACGGUUACUGCUGCAAAAGAAUCACGUACUGUAUAUGAAAAUUUACUACCACAUAACAACAGUAAAAUCCAGAUCGCUCCUGCGCUCGGGUGCGCGCUGGAUUAUUAAUGCCUGACUCGUUCGCAGGACCGCGGAUGUCACCAUGGUAACCAAGCUCAGGUGCGAUUGUGAACUAUGACGUCACCUUAACUGAGGGUUUCAGACCAAAACACAAAGACCGAGCAGUGAUACAAAUUCUGAUCUUCUCUUUUUAGAAAUAUCUAGAAGGAAUAUUAUUUGCUUUGAAGUGGGGGGGGGGUAAUUCUAUUCAGUGUAAUAAUGAUGGAGAUGGAGAAAAAUUCUGCUCUGUGAAUUAUUUAGUAAUUACAGUGGAACUAACAGGAAGUAUAGUCGUAAGAUGCGUUCACAUCUGGAGUCCUGGGAUCAACUGAAGGGGAGUAACAUCCUGAAAUCCCCAAAUCAAGGCUUCGUUCUUGUGUUUGCUAGCCGUAUUAUUGAACGAUGCCGCAUUUCCGACAUGCUUAAGCACUUACUGGGGUCUACGGCUACGCCAGGCAUCGCUACGAUGUAAUCAGAGGCCUUCGUUUACAGCGACGAUAUUUAUACGUUCAUUUCCAGUGCCUGCUCGGUCCUGGUCGGGUGUGAGGACGUCCCGGCACGCACGCGAGUCCGGCGCACAGCAUCGUGGACACACGCUUUCGCAUACAGGGGUUCUUUCGAGUCACCAGUCUGCCUACUGCUACGUUUCGGGAAGCUGGAAGGAAAGCAGAGAACCCUGAGGAAACAGACGCUGACCUGAGACCGGGAUCGAAGCUGCCGUGCCGCCCGCAAACUUUUCACCCUUCGUGGCAAAGGUGUGAUACUUGAAUUUUUAUUCCUUAUUUGUAGAAAUAACCGGGAGGGUACAUCGAACGUGAUGAAACACAAUGGAUUACGCUGAGGCCUUAGCAAAGGUGUAUUGAGUCGCUGAGGAAAAGCGUUCGGAAAUCUGACGUCUGGCUUGGACUGCUUGUUUGUGUUUGUAUACGCCUCCUGUCAGUCAUUUUACAGACGCUCAACUCCGUCUUACUUAAUGCACAUUAAAAUCCCCGUGAAGAGUCUUGAAACGCACAGCCUUAUUCGACGUGCUGAUGUAAUUUCCACCGAAAUGACUGAAUCUCGAGCGGCUCCUCCCCCCUUUCUAAACAGCCAAUAGCGUUUUGCUUACCUCACAGCCCGGGCUAAAUCUGAAUAGAAAACAGACACGUGCUCGCCGAUAUGAUUCCUCUCGCUCAACGACGGCAACUUCGGCAAUUAUUUAUAAGGUUGUGGGCGGGACAAGCUGAAGUGCAGAACGACGUCAUGGAAACCGUUGAUGCGUAUUGAUGUUAGAGUGAAACUGUACGUUCUGAGUGCGUAUAUCUUCUAAAUACGGGUUUAGUCGUCGUUCUGGAGCGCACUAGCUCAUAGAUAACCGUAGCGCUGACUCAUAUCCGUACUAAAAGCCGCAAAAUUCCCUAUUUCAAGAGGAUUUUUAACAAAGUAAGGUACGGUAUUUCAUCCUCGACGCAAGCCAAGAAUCGACGCGUGCACCGGCGCCAAACUGAUCCGAUCUGAUUUAAGUCUCUUACGGUCUCCUGUUCCUUGCAUUCAUAACGAUUUCGUUGCAUUUGAUCACGACAGCACCACGACGUUGUACCGCCUGUACCGCGGAAAUAUAUCAAGAAGUGUCGCCCAGAACAGGACGGUGAGUCAGGGCGCUCUCGCGGCUUCGUCCUCAUGAUGUCUCAGGGAGUUUUUCCCUCGCCGCCGUCGCUCGUUAAGUUUCCAGAUCUACUUCCUGCGCUGUGAGCAUGUCCGGUGCUAAAAGCACUAUCUAAAAAAAAAAUGAACCGGACUGGAAGUGCGAGUGAUUUCCGGCGGUUGAGAAGAUUCGAGGGAGGUUAUCAGGUUACCCAGAGUGCAUCCUUUUCUCUGUGAAACGCUGAAGGUGUGCAUGGUGCUAGACUUUCAUUUAAAAUAGGUAAAUAUUCACCAUUCGGUCUUCUUAUCCGGCCGAACCAGGUUCGGCGGGCUGUGAAACCAGCUCUGGGCCUGUUUCCGUGAGUGCACAUGGUCAAGUAGACAUGAUGAUGGUGAUGAUGGUGAUGGUGAUGAUGGUGCUUUAAGGCUAAGCUUGGAGAGAACAUAUAUAUACACACAUAUAUAUAUAUAUAUAUAUGUUCUCUCCAAGAACAUC
ensembl:lncRNA